UGCAGCCUUUUCAGAGGGCACGGCCGACCCUGCCGUCUGCUCCGUGCAAUUACAAGAUGGAUUAACAGCUCUUUCUAACACUGUCAUCAUCACCUCGCAUGCCUUGGAGGAAUCUGAGGAUGCUGCGUUCCUGACCGAUGUCUCAACAGAGACGGACGAGACAGAGAGAGACGCCACACAAAUCUCAGGAGGUAAAGCCGUGAAGGUAGGACACCUAUCUUUAGACUACUACCUAUGUAUGGACACAGUGCCAAAUAAGGUAAGAUGUAUUGAGGUGAUUGAAAAAGAGAUGGGGGAGUGGUGGAGGUACACCCCCCUCACCUAGAUGGAUG
ensembl:lncRNA